rnacentral:tRNA from 1 species
GGGUCGUUAGUUCAGUUGGUAGAGCAGUUGCCUUUUAAUCAAUUGGACGCAGGUUCGUAUCCUGCACGACCCACCA